AAAUCUUGACAUCCUCUGACCGCCAUAGAGAUAUGGUUUCCCUUCGGGGCAGAGAGACAGGUGGUGCAUGGUUGUCGUCAGCUCGUGUCGUGAGAUGUUGGGUUAAGUCCCGCAACGAGCGCAACCCUUAAACUUAGUUGCCAGCAUUGAGUUGGGCACUCUAAGUUGACUGCCGGUGACAAACCGGAGGAAGGUGGGGAUGACGUCAAAUCAUCAUGCCCCUUAUGAUUUGGGCUACACACGUGCUACAAUGGACAGGUACAAAGGGCAGCAACGCCGCAAGGCCAAGCGAAUCCCAUAAAACUGUUCUCAGUUCGGAUUGGAGUCUGCAACUCGACUCCAUGAAGCUGGAAUCGCUAGUAAUCGUGGAUCAGCAUGCCACGGUGAAUACGUUCCCGGGUC
rnacentral:rRNA from 1 species